UCCUUACCCAUACACUUUCUCGUCAGUUGUAAAUGAUGAAUCUUUUAUUUUUAUUUAUUCAUUUAAUUUUAAUAUUACGUUUUAUUAAGACGCAAUGGACUGACAUACACCAUUCGGUGGCAGUCCAGAGAGAGAGGAAAAUAAUUAUAUUUAAUGUUAUCGAUUUUUAUGUCGUGGCCAUGGAGAAAGCUCUGUGGCGGCGACGAUGGUAGAACAACUCCCUGGUAAGUCAUAUGUGAACUUUCCGCUACUUCCGCGUCAAGUCGCCCCUUACUUUGGUCGCUUUCCUUUUUAGCCCACCGACAUUGUCAGACCCAGUCUUUUUAAAGGGACUCUGACCAGAAGCUGUGAGAGCUGUUUCGUAUGUGCAGUCGAUAAAGCACCCCAAAAGGACUCUCCUUGCGAGAAUUCAUGCAUUAAAACCCCACGGAUUCUCUAAAUUCGAAUUUUAAAGCGACAGUCCGGAGGUCUGGUGGUUUUCGAAUAACGACUGUAUUAGAUUCCAGACAGGACGUGUAUGCUACAUGUGAAACGAGAAAGCUUAAAUCUUCCUCGUUGUUGAGAAAAUGAAUUUAAUAGUAUGCGAAUUCCAUAUCCGGUUUCGGUCUCCCCUGACCACGCCCGACACUAGUGACGUCACGAGUGUCGAGACAAAGCAGCAUCUGCUGCGGCGACGCGAGACGUAAUGAAAUCGAAAGUGUUUUCAGCAUGAGCUCUACGGGCGAAAAAGAGCUGCUUUCUGAGAGCGACGACGACCUUUACUAUGACAACCAUGUCGAAGACGAAUGUUCGUUUACCACAGACGCUUUACCAGUUACGCAUGUACGCACGGAAGCAUGCACGGAUACGGGCGUUGAGGCUGCUUCGUCGCCGGAGAUUCCCAUUCAAGCAGCAGAUUUGUUUAGGUGACACCUCGUUGUCUGCACGCGAGUUUUGUGUCUGUUUACACGGCAUAUGUUGUUGAGCCAACUUUUUGUAUAUCUUGUUUAGGUGUUGGUGCUUGGGCUGCAAUCCGGAACGCCCAAAUGAAUUUCUGUGCUGCCGAAGCGUCGUGAUCAUUUCCCAGAUCUGUGACGAAAACAACAUUGAUUGCAUUGCUCAGCAUCAUAUGUUUCCACUAUUGUGCCUUCACCGCGAAAUUCUCUCCGUUUUCGUACGACAGAAGAGGCACUACAUCCCCACCAAACUGGAGCAACACAGAGACGAGAACAGUACACUCAGGUUUGCAGUAUAUACCUUGUUUGUAUGUUGGGUGUGGGGCCGCCUUAGCCAUGGACAUCGCAGGCAAAUACCCGGCUGCUGCGUAUCAACUAUUCGCAGUGCAUUUCCAUCAGCAGUCUAUCAAGGGUUUCAAGGUGGGAGAGAUGCAACAAACAGUUCCGAUGAGCGAUCUAUUGAAGUUGCUAUGAUUUGUAUUGACCACCCAAUGAAUUUUUUCAGAGAUUGCUCACUGUAUGAUUGGAGAGCGAUUUUGCUGCGCAGCCUUCCUUGAAACCUGGCUGUACUCUUGUACAAGAUACACAGAAACCAACCGUGAAACAAAUAAUCUUUAUUUACAUUGAUAAAAAAAAACACACACACAUGUGAUGGUGCAGAGAUUACAGGACUUUUGGAUGUUUAGCAGAAGUUACAUGUCCAUCCAAGGACCCAUGUUGAAAAAUACCACAAAAUUGUUUGAUCAUUGCAUGCCUACCUCUGCAUGAAACUGAGGCAGACAUGUGGAACACUUGCGCUGAAAAGAAAUGUUAAUAUUACUGGCAGGGACAACAUAUAUGAAAUCCAUAUUCUAUGGCUAUAUAUCCAUGGCUUCCACAUUAGGCAUUGCAUGUCUCGCACAUCGUCCUAGACAUCCUAAAUCAUAAGAGAAGCACGUGUGUUUACGGUGCCCAGUUUUGAACCACUUAUGGAAUUGAGAAGCUUUCUUGUCAUUAUCUGCUCUGUAUAAUCAUGUUCUUUCUCAUUGUGCAGUCUGUGCAGUCUUGUGGUGUGUAUUGUGCAGUCUGUUCAUUUGAUUGUAGAUAUUCUAUUUUUGUGCAUUUGCAGCAAGUGCUGUGGAAUAAUUUAUUUGUGAAAACACUUUAUUUUCAUAUAAUCAUAGUUUAUAGCAAAUAAAUGGAGAGGACAAUUAUUA